rnacentral:rRNA from 1 species
UACGUAGGGGGCAAGCGUUGUCCGGAUUUACUGGGCGUAAAGAGCGCGCAGGCGGUCGUUCAAGUCGAGUGUGAAAGCCCCCGGCUCAACUGGGGAGGGUCACUCGAUACUGAUCGACUUGAAGGCAGGAGAGGGAAGCGGAAUUCCCGGUGUAGUGGUGAAAUGCGUAGAUAUCGGGAGGAACACCAGUGGCGAAGGCGGGUCUCUGGGCCGAUACUGACGCUGAGGAGCGAAAGCGUGGGGAGCGAACAGG